UACGAAGGGGGCUAGCGUUGCUCGGAAUUACUGGGCGUAAAGCGCACGUAGGCGGCUUUCUAAGUCGGGGGUGAAAUCCUGGAGCUCAACUCCAGAACUGCCUUCGAUACUGGAAAGCUCGAGUCCGGGAGAGGUGAGUGGAACUGCGAGUGUAGAGGUGAAAUUCGUAGAUAUUCGCGAGAACACCAGUGGCGAAGGCGGCUCACUGGCCCGGUACUGACGCUGAGGUGCGAAAGCGUGGGGAGCAAACAGG
rnacentral:rRNA from 1 species